GAAAUAUAGGCUAAUCAUUUAAACCGUGGGCCUUCAAAGCCCAAACUGUGAACUACUCACUAUUUCUG
rnacentral:tRNA from 6 species